ACGGGUGAGUAACACUUGGGCAACCUGCCCUGCACUCUGGGAUAAGCCCGGGAAACUGGGUCUAAUACCGGAUACGACUUCCCACCGCAUGGUGGGGGGUGGAAAGUUCCGGCGGUGCAUGAUGGGCCCGCGGCCUAUCAGCUUGUUGGUGGGGUAAUGGCCUACCAAGGCGACUACGGGUAGCCGGCCUGAGAGGGCGACCGGCCACACUGGGACUGAGACACGGCCCAGACUCCUACGGGAGGCACCAGUGGGGAAUAUUGCGCAAUGGGCGAAAGCCUGACGCAACGACCCCGCGUGAGGGAUGACGGCCUUCGGGUUGUAAACCUCUUUCAGCAGGGAAGAAGCGAAAGUGACAGUACCUGCAUAAGAAGCACCGGCUAACUACGUGCCACCAGCCGCGGUAAUACGUAGGGUGCGAGCGUUGUCCGGAAUUAUUGGGCGUAAAGAGCUCGUAGGCGGCUUGUCACGUCGGAUGUGAAAACCCGGGGCUCAACCCCGGGCCUGCAUUCGAUACGGGCAGGCUAGAGUUCGGCAGGGGAGACUGGAAUUCCUGGUGUAGCGGUGAAAUGCGCA
rnacentral:rRNA from 1 species